rnacentral:rRNA from 1 species
CUGCUAUCGGAUGAUACUAAGCCAUGCGAGUCUUUGUAGUAAUACAAGGCAUACGGCUCAGUAACACGUAGUCAACCUACCCUAUGGACAAGAAUAAUCUCGGGAAACUGGGCAUAAUUCUUGAUAGAUCAUAAUGCCUGGAAUGGUUUAUGGUUAAAAUGAUUCGUCGCCAUAGGAUGGGACUGCGGCCUAUCAGCUUGUUGGUGAGGUAAUGGCCCACCAAGGCGAUUACAGGUACGGGCUCUGAGAGGAGAAGCCCGGAGAUGGGUACUGAGACACGGACCCAGGCCCUAUGGGGCGCAGCAGGCGAGAAAACUUUGCAAUGUGCGAAAGCACGACAAGGUUAAUCCGAGUGAUUUCUGCUAAAGAAAUCUUUUGCCAGUCAUAAAACCACUGGUGAAUAAGGGGUGGGCAAGUUCUGGUGUCAGCCGCCGCGGUAAAACCAGCACCUCAAGUGGUCAGGAUGAUUAUUGGGCCUAAAGCAUCCGUAGCCGGCUUUGUAAGUUUUCGGUUAAAUCCAUGUGCUCAACGCAUGGGCUGCCGAAAAUACUGCAUAGCUAGGGAGUGGGAGAGGUAGACGGUACUCAGUAGGAAGGGGUAAAAUCCUUUGAUCUAUUGAUGACCACCUGUGGCGAAGGCGGUCUACCAGAACACGUUCGACGGUGAGGGAUGAAAGCUGGGGGAGCAAACCGGAUUAGAUACCCGGGUAGUCCCAGCUGUAAACGAUGCAGACUCGAUGAUGCAUAGGCAUAAUAGCUAGUGCAGUGUCGCAGGGAAGCCGUUAAGUCUGCCGCCUGGGAAGUACGUACGCAAGUAUGAAACUUAAAGGAAUUGGCGGGGGAGCACCACAAGGGGUGAAGCCUGCGGUCAAU